rnacentral:rRNA from 1 species
CCUACGGGCGGCAGCAGUGGGGAAUCUUCCACAAUGGGCGAAAGCCUGAUGGAGCAACGCCGCGUGGGUGAAGAAGGUCUUCGGAUCGUAAAACCCUGUUGUUAGAGAAGAAAAUGCGUGAGAGUAACUAUUCACGUUUCGACGGUAUCUAACCAGAAAGCCACGGCUAACUAAGUGCCAGCAGCCGCGGUAAGACGUAGGUGGCAAGCGUUAUCCGGAUUGAUUGGGCGUAAAGGGAACGCAGGCGGUCUUGUAAGUCUGAUGUGAAAGCCUUGGGCUUAACCUGAGUAGUGCAUUGGAGACUGGGAGACUAGAGUGCAGAAGAGGAGAGUGGAACUCCAGGUGUAGCGGUGAAAUGCGUAGAUAUAUGGAAGAACACCAGUGGCGAAAGCGGCUUUCUGGUCUGUAACUGACGCUGAGGCUCGAAAGCGUGGGUAGCAAACAGGAUUAGAUACCCCUGUAGUC